rnacentral:tRNA from 1 species
GGGAUUGUGGCUCAGUGGUAGAGAGGGCUUGCCUUGCGUGCAUGAGACCCUGGGUUUGAUCCCCAGCACCA